GAUUUUCGGAUUUAAAAAAAAAUAAAAAUAAAAAGAGAAAAGGGAAAAGGAUUUCACUGUUCAUCUUUUUCCUUGUCCUCCCCGUAAGCUUCAUCUUCCAACCGCAUGAGUCAUCUUCUUCCUUAUCAUCUUCCAAAGCAUUGAUGUGCUUUGGGGCCAGCGUGACAUGUCAUUGCUGAUGAAUAAGAGUGAAGCAUGUUUCUCACACUUUUUCUAUAUCGAAAACAACCAAACGAACAUGAGAGGUCAGUUUGAAAGAUGCUUUUCUUCUUUUGCACUGAACGUUUGGGAAUACAAUCUACUUAGAGAGCAAGCUAGGUAUGUAUUGAUGUAGUAAGGGGUGCACUUCGAGAAGAGGAGAAUCUACUGCAAAAGUUGGGAAUAUAAAACCACACACUUUCCAGGUCUUGGCUAUUCUCUGAAGCAACAAGAACAAUCAUACCUUUACUUGCAAGUAUUGGUUUGGCACUAAUUUUUGUGGAUUUAAUUAAGCUAGAUCUUGUGCUGUGGGAUUCACCUUGUUGGAGAAUCUGGAGGCCAGAUCCAAGUGUCUCGAACCCACCAGGCUCACAGAUCUUUCAGAUUUAGCAACAAGCAUUUGGGAUGUCAUUAGGAUUGGUUAGUCAUGGUGAAGAAUGGAAUAUUGGAAUACUAGCUAUUUCAGUCAUCUUAGAAGGUGACUCCGCUAUAGUCAUCAUCUGGAUCCAAAAGGGUCCGAGGGCCGCUGCCGGCGGCCAUCUAUUGUUUCGCGAUAUUUGGAUGAUAAUGAGAGAUGGAGGAGUUGUCCAGACUACGCAUAUGUUUAAAGAAGCCAAUAGAGCUGCAGAUUGGAUGACCACCCACGCAGCCAACUAUACCGUUAGCACCGUGUGGGCAGAGGAUAGGGAGCUACCUUGGAAGCUCCGUGACAUUCUAUUUUCCAACUUUAUUAAGUGUAUUCGUACACGUGUUGUAUAAAUUUUCCGUCUUAGCUCAAAAAAAAGGAACGAAAUAUUCAUCUGACUAAUAUAAUCCAAAUGUUGAUAGCCU